AGAAUCAACGCUGGCGGCGUGCCUAACACAUGCAAGUCGAACGAGAAAGUGGAGCAAUCCAUGAGUAAAGUGGCGCACGGGUGAGUAACACGUGACUAACCUACCCUUGAGUGGGGGGUAACCUAGAGAAAUCUGGGCUAAUACCGCAUAAUACCUUCGGGUCAAAGGAGCAAUUCGCUUAAGGAGGGGGUCGCGGCCGAUUAGUUAGUUGGCGGGGUAAUGGCCCACCAAGACUAUGAUCGGUA
rnacentral:rRNA from 1 species